rnacentral:rRNA from 1 species
GAUGAACGCUGGCGGCGUGCCUAAUACAUGCCAGUCGAGCGAACGGACGAGAAGCUUGCUUCUCUGAUGUUAGCGGCGGACGGGUGAGUAACACGUGGAUAACCUACCUAUAAGACUGGGAUAACUUCGGGAAACCGGAGCUAAUACCGGAUAAUAUUUUGAACCGCAUGGUUCAAAAGUGAAAGACGGUCUUGCUGUCACUUAUAGAUGGAUCCGCGCUGCAUUAGCUAGUUGGUAAGGUAACGGCUUACCAAGGCAACGAUGCAUAGCCGACCUGAGAGGGUGAUCGGCCACACUGGAACUGAGACACGGUCCAGACUCCUACGGGAGGCAGCAGUAGGGAAUCUUCCGCAAUGGGCGAAAGCCUGACGGAGCAACGCCGCGUGAGUGAUGAGGGUCUUCGGAUCGUAGAACUCUGUUAUUAGGGAAGAACAUAUGUGUAAGUAACUGUGCACAUCUUGACGGUACCUAAUCAGAAAGCCACGGCUAACUACGUG